rnacentral:rRNA from 1 species
AUUGAACGCUGGCGGCAUGCUUUACACAUGCAAGUCGAACGGUAACAGGGUGCUUGCACCGCUGACGAGUGGCGAACGGGUGAGUAAUGCGUCGGAACGUGCCGAGUAGUGGGGGAUAACGUAUCGAAAGGUGUGCUAAUACCGCAUACGUACUGAGGUAGAAAGUGGGGGACCUUCGGGCCUCACGCUAUUCGAGCGGCCGACGUCUGAUUAGCUAGUUGGUGAGGUAAAGGCUCACCAAGGCGACGAUCAGUAGCGGGUCUGAGAGGAUGAUCCGCCACACUGGGACUGAGACACGGCCCAGACUCCUACGGGAGGCAGCAGUGGGGAAUUUUGGACAAUGGGCGCAAGCCUGAUCCAGCCAUGCCGCGUGUCUGAAGAAGGCCUUCGGGUUGUAAAGGACUUUUGUCCGGGAGCAAAUGCCUGGUGUUAAUAGCACUGGGAGCUGAGAGUACCGGAAGAAUAAGCACCGGCUAACUACGUGCCAGCAGCCGCCGCCGUAA